AUUGAACGCUGGCGGCAGGCCUAACACAUGCAAGUCGAGCGAGCGGCGGACGGGUGAGUAAUGUCUGGGAAACUGCCUGAUGGAGGGGGAAAACUACCGGAAACGGUAGCUAAUACCCCAUACCAUCAGAUGUGCCCAGUUGGGAUUAGCUAGUAGGUGGGGUAAUGGCUCACCUAGGCGACGAUCCCUAGCUGGUCUGAGAGGAUGACCAGCCACACUGGAACUGAGACACGGUCCAGACUCCUACGGGAGGCAGCAGUGGGGAAUAUUGCACAAUGGGCGCAAGCCUGAUGCAGCCAUGCCGCGUGUAUGAAGAAGGCCUUCGGGUUGUAAAGUACUUUCAGCGAGGAGGCGUUACUCGCAGAAGAAGCACCGGCUAACUCCGUGCCAGCAGCCGCGGUAAUAC
rnacentral:rRNA from 1 species